UGUUAAAAAAAUUAUCCAUUUGUACUGUUAAAAACUGAUGUGGCUAACAAAAUAACCAAACAAUAAUAUGGGCGUGCCAUGUAUACCUCAUGCUAACAUAAAGGGAUCAGUUUUUAACAGAAAAAAUGGAUGGAAUUUUUAACA
rfam:Gossypium arboreum cultivar AKA8401 contig_793_3, whole genome shotgun sequence.